AUUGAACGCUGGCGGCAGGCCUAACACAUGCAAGUCGAACGAGUGGCGGACGGGUGAGUAAUGUCUGGGUAACUUCCCGAUGGAGGGGGAUAACUAAUGGAAACGGUAGCUAAUACCGCAUACCAUUGGACGUGCCCAGAUGGGAUUAGCUGGUUGGUGGGGUAACGGCUCACCUAGGCGACGAUCCCUAGCUGGGCUGAGAGGAUGACCAGCCACACUGGAACUGAGACAGGGUCCAGACCCCUACGGGGGGAACCAGUGGGGAAUAUUGCACAAUGGGCGCAAGCCUGAUGCAUCCAUGCCGCGUGUAUGAAGAAGGCCUUCGAGUUGUAAAGUACUUUCAGCGAGGAGGCGUUACUCGCAGAAGAAGCACCGGCUAACUCCGUGCCAGCAGCCGCGGUAAUAC
rnacentral:rRNA from 1 species